UACGUAGGGUGCGAGCGUUAAUCGGAAUUACUGGGCGUAAAGCGUGCGCAGGCGGCGCGUUAAGACAGGUGUGAAAGCCCCGAGCUUAACUUGGGAAUUGCGCUUGUGACUGGCGUGCUGGAGUGUGGCAGAGGGAGGUGGAAUUCCACGUGUAGCAGUGAAAUGCGUAGAGAUGUGGAGGAACACCGAUGGCGAAGGCAGCCUCCUGGGCCAGCACUGACGCUCAGGCACGAAAGCGUGGGGAGCAAAAGGG
rnacentral:rRNA from 1 species